UACGAAGGUGGCAAGCGUUGUUCGGAUUUACUGGGCGUACAGGGAGCGUAGGCGGUUGGAUAAGCCCUCCGUGAAAUCCCCAGGCUUAACCUGGGAACUGCAUUCGAGACUGCAUAGCUAGAGUAUGGGAGAGGGAAGUGGAAUUUCAGGUGUAGCGGUGAAAUGCGUAGAUAUCUGAAGGAACAUCAGUGGCGAAAGCGACUUCCUGGACCAAUACUGACGCUCAUGUGCGAAAGCGUGGGGAGCAAACAGG
rnacentral:rRNA from 1 species